rnacentral:ncRNA from 1 species
AGGAGCCGUAUGAGGUGAAAAUCUCAUGUACGGUUUUGGAACGGAGAAUACUUUGAAUCGAAUGACGACCGUAAC